AACGGAACACGUAUGAGUAAUUAUCAACGAGUAGAGCAAAUGACAUUUCUCAGGCCAGAUGGCAGAUGUCUCCCAUAGAGAAGAUUUCUUGAUUCAGUAAUUUGGUGAUCAUUCUCAAGAUAAACUUGUGGACAGUUCUAUUUCCAACUUCAAUCAGAACCACAGAUUUUAACAGCCUCCUUCUUCCUCUCUCACUAUCAAAAGUGGGAGAAAAAGUGUCACAAGUGGGAGAAUAUGACUCAUUAAAAGUAAACAUUUAAGAGCUUGGUACAGCAAUUUUCUAUUUUUUCACAAAAGUUAUGUUUCCUCAGAGUGCAAUGGACAGAGGUAUAAGGAGCACUAUGGAGCCCCUCCUUUGAAGAUCGAUAGCGUACAACACAUUAGAUGACCUUCUACGUGACUCUGUCCAAACAUCAAUAGAGAUGGAACCCGGAGUAUUGUCUAGUUGUGACAGUUGUGAAAAUGGAAUAGAUUAUAAUUAAUGCCACUGAAAUCAUUCUGUCUUCUGCUAAAAGCCUGCCAGCCUCCUAAGAGUGUCACUGAUUCUGAGUGUUCAGAUUCUCUCUUCAUUCAAGUAUAGAGAUAUUUGAUGCUACAGAUUGCUAUCCAAUCAAUGUGAUGGAAAACUAUCACCUGACCUCCUGAAGACAUUAACAUUUUAUAGAAUGCUUACAAUUUAAGGAUAAAUAUGAAGUUUAUAGCUCAAAAGCAUUUACCUUUGGAAGCAUAAUUUAUGGAAAUCCACACAUCUCAAGCUUUGAAACCCAUUUGUGUACCUAGGAACUAAUUAAUGGAACUAAGAUAAAUGAGCCCAAGAAAAAUGAUAUUUUGAUCUCUUGCAAUACAGUAGUCCACUCAAACCCAUUAGAAAAUGUUUUCGCCCCAAGAAAAUGCAUCCAGCCAAUGACGUAGCAAAGUUAUGAUGAGGAAUAGUUAUUUCUGAAAUUAUGUAACAAUAUACUCCUGUUUUGCUUGUAAAUAAAAGAUAACAUAGCACAGCUGAUGCUUGUUUAAACUUUGCAUACAAAUAUGCAUGAUGCCAACUGGAUUCAAUUUAUCCUGUCUUAAUUUGAAUUAACUUGACAGAUCUUUUGACACAUGCUGAACAGACUAAUUGUUGCUUAUUUGGGUGCACUGAAUCAGUGAACAUGGCAAUCAGAAUCCAAGCAGAUGUUCAUAGUUUCUGUGAUUGCCCGGAGCCUGAGGGUGGAAAAAGAUGGAGAAUCAUUUUGCUGAUUUACUUUUGUUAGUAUCUGUCAAGUCAUGGGCUGCAUUACAAAUACUAUUGUUAAAAUAAGCAGACUCUGCUAAAGACUUGUGAAGAGCAGAUAUGAAUGCUAAUGAUAAUUUUACCUUUAGAUGCAUUUGAACUUACAAAGUCCCUGUAAUCAGAAUUUGCUAAGGGUAAGAUUGCAAUAGGACAUUUUUCUUCUUCUUGCCUUUCCCCCCAAUAUCUUUCUUUUCUAAAUGUCAUUAACGUAUUAUGACUAGUUUCCGGAACACAGAAAAUUAUAGGGGAAUAAAGCAAACAAAAGUAUACUUGCUACCCUUACUGCCCACUUUGUCAAAUCUUGUGUUGUGCCCUAUUUAAUACGUUAUUUUUUAAGAACAGGAACAUUACAGAUCCCACGGAAUCUUCCUGUGAAUGAAUGGAAGAGAUAACAAGAGUUGGAUCAACUUCACACACCCUUUAAAAAUUUGUUACAUUGUUUUGUGUUAUCAAUUUUCAGUAAAAUUUGCUACAUACAUUUUCAAAAAAUAACAAUGAAUUAAUGGAGUAAAAUUUAACAGAGUAGAAGUCUAGAGUUAAAUAGUUCAGAGAUUGUUAAAUGACUUCUUAAAAUGGUUAAGGUUCCAUUUUGGACAUACUUCUGGUUCAUUUGUAUUUCCUAUUCUAUAAUUUUUUCUACAUGUCUUGUCUAUUUUUCUACUGGAAAUUCCAUCGCUUUGUUUAGAUUGAUUUGUAGAGUAUGCACUUUGGGCACUAAUCCUUUGCUGGCCUACGUGCUACAAAUACAGUCUUCCAGACUAUGGGGUUCUAAUUUUUCUUUGCAUAGAAAUAAUAAAUUGCCCUAUCAACGUUUUGUCACUAUUUCUUUAACAUUGCUUUUUGUUUUCUUUUCUCUAUCCUCUUCUUCUAAAUUUCCUAUUAAAAUAUAUGAGAUUGUCUCAUUCUUUUUCUGCAUAUCUAUUGGCAUUCUCUUUUUUCUCAUCAUUUUACCUCUCUAUUCUUUAUUAAGUGUAGUAUUAUCACACCUAAUUUCUGGCUCAUCGAUUCUUUUUUUUCCACUGUGUUCAUCUGAUUAUCUAUCACUACAUAAAUAUGUGAAUUAUAUAAUUAUAUUGAGUUAUAGAACUAAUUCUCAUGACUUGUGUUUCUAGAAGUACCAGUAAGUCCUUUUUCAAAUCAUUUUUGUUAUAUCUUGUUCUUUCUUCUUCCUUUAAUUUUAGGCUUGAUUUUACUUGUUUUUUUUUUUUUUUUCCUGGGAGGAGAAGGAAGUAAGAGAAAUUUAUUUGGCAUCAGUGAUCUAUUAGGAGGUCUCCAUCUAAAGUUGAUUUUUUUUCUUUCAUAAUCACAAACUAUAAUUGACUUCUCAUUAUUAUCUAAACCCACAAAAAAAAAUAAAAAAAAAUAAACCCACA